UAGCUGGAGAGUAUGAUCCUGGCUCAGGGUGAACGCUGGCGGCGUGCCUAAUGCAUGCAAGUUGAGCGCCUCGCUUCGGCGGGGAGCAGCGAACGGCUGAGGAACGCGUAGGUGACCUGCCCUUCGGUGGGGGACAACUCCGGGAAACCGGUGCUAAUACCGCAUACGACCUUCCGGUUGCGGCCGGAAGAGGAAAGUCGCAAGACGCCGAGGGAGGGGCCUGCGUCCCAUCAGGUAGUUGGUGGGGUAAUGGCCUACCAAGCCGACGACGGGUAGCUGGUCUGAGAGGAUGAUCAGCCAGAGGGGGACUGAGACACGGCCCCCACUCCUACGGGAGGCAGCAGCAGGGGAUCUUGGGCAAUGGGCGAAAGCCUGACCCAGCGACGCCGCGUGGGGGAUGAAGGCCUUUGGGUCGUAAACCCCUUUUCCAGGGGACGAUAAUGACGGUACCUUGGGAAUAAGCCCCGGCUAACUACGUGCCAGCAGCCGCGGUAAAACGUAGGGGGCAAGCGUUACCCGGAAUUACUGGGC
rnacentral:rRNA from 1 species